GACGAACGCUGGCGGCGUGCUUAACACAUGCAAGUCGAACGGAAAGGCCCUGCUUUUGUGGGGUGCUCGAGUGGCGAACGGGUGAGUAACACGUGAGUAACCUGCCCUUGACUUUGGGAUAACUUCAGGAAACUGGGGCUAAUACCGGAUAGGAGCUCCUGCUGCAUGGUGGGGGUUGGAAAGUUUCGGCGGUUGGGGAUGGACUCGCGGCUUAUCAGCUUGUUGGUGGGGUAGUGGCUUACCAAGGCUUUGACGGGUAGCCGGCCUGAGAGGGUGACCGGCCACAUUGGGACUGAGAUACGGCCCAGACUCCUACGGGAGGCAGCAGUGGGGAAUAUUGCACAAUGGGCGGAAGCCUGAUGCAGCAACGCCGCGUGCGGGAUGACGGCCUUCGGGUUGUAAACCGCUUUCGCCUGUGACGAAGCGUGAGUGACGGUAAUGGGUAAAGAAGCACCGGCUAACUACGUGCCAGCAGCCGCGGUGAUACGUAGGGUGCGAGCGUUGUCCGGAUUUAUUGGGCGUAAAGGGCUCGUAGGUGGUUGAUCGCGUCGGAAGUGUAAUCUUGGGGCUUAACCCUGAGCGUGCUUUCGAUACGGGUUGACUUGAGGAAGGUAGGGGAGAAUGGAAUUCCUGGUGGAGCGGUGGAAUGCGCAGAUAUCAGGAGGAACACCAGUGGCGAAGGCGGUUCUCUGGGCCUUUCCUGACGCUGAGGAGCGAAAGCGUGGGGAGCGAACAGGCUUAGAUACCCUGGUAGUCCACGCUGUAAACGGUGGGUACUAGGUGUGGGGUCCAUUCCACGGGUUCCGUGCCGUAGCUAACGCUUUAAGUACCCCGCCUGGGGAGUACGGCCGCAAGGCUAAAACUCAAAGGAAUUGACGGGGUCCCGCACAAGCGGCGGAGCAUGCGGAUUAAUUCGAUGCAACGCGUAGAACCUUACCUGGGUUUGACAUGGAUCGGGAGUGCUCAGAGAUGGGUGUGCCUCUUUUGGGGUCGGUUCACAGGUGGUGCAUGGCUGUCGUCAGCUCGUGUCGUGAGAUGUUGGGUUAAGUCCCGCAACGAGCGCAACCCUUGUUCACUGUUGCCAGCACGUUAUGGUGGGGACUCAGUGGAGACCGCCGGGGUCAACUCGGAGGAAGGUGGGGAUGACGUCAAGUCAUCAUGCCCCUUAUGUCCAGGGCUUCACGCAUGCUACAAUGGCUGGUACAGAGAGUGGCGAGCCUGUGAGGGUGAGCGAAUCUCGGAAAGCCGGUCUCAGUUCGGAUUGGGGUCUGCAACUCGACCUCAUGAAGUCGGAGUCGCUAGUAAUCGCAGAUCAGCAACGCUACGGUGAAUACGUUCCCGGGGCU
rnacentral:rRNA from 1 species